rnacentral:lncRNA from 1 species
AAGAAGAAAGUGAGCUGAGUACCAGUCAUCUCUCUGCCUCCUAACUGCAGAUGCAGUAAGACCAGCUGCCUUCAGCUCCUGCAGCCAUCUUCUACCAUGAUGGGCUUGGGCAUCUUUGAGCUUUCUAGCAACUCCACUUUAAGAUGAGAAAACUGGGUCACUGCAAACAAAACAAACGAACAGAUACCCCACCCCGUCAAAAAAAACCCAAACCUAAACAGCAACAAAUCUGCCGCAGAGCUCAGCUGAGGAGUGAGGCCCCAAAACAUAGACAGAGAACGUGGACAAGCCCUGACCACUAGCGAGCGAUGGACAGAAACUUGUUUCCCUGGAGGAAUGAGUGCUUGCCACUGAUCUCGACCUUCUGCUGUGACAUGGUAUGACAAAGCAGUGUGAGACUGUACCAGAGUCAAAUGGCUGGGGCAAGCCCAAGGCUGCCCAAAGAAGUCUCUAUGUUAAACAUAAGAAACAGGGACAAAUGUACAAACUCUCCAGCCACGCUCCCAGCAGGCAUCUGGAAUUGGACAGGUGGUUCCUGCCCUUCUCCCACUUUCAGCUUCUUUCACAGAUCCUUCCCAAUAUCUGAAGCAUGGAGAGGUAGGUGCCUCUCCUGGGCUCACUCGGAGGGAAAGUGAUGGACGGCGCUGGUUGUCAGUUCUGAAAGGGUCACUGUGCUCCGGG